GAGGGUAUAGCUCAGAGGUGGAGCACAUGCUUAGCAUGCAUGAGGUCCUGGGUUCAAUCUCCAGUACCGCCA
rnacentral:tRNA from 1 species